CAGUCGCCGCGGUAAUACGUAGGGUGCGAGCGUUAAUCGGAAUUACUGGGCGUAAAGCGUGCGCAGGCGGUAAUGUAAGACAGGUGUGAAAUCCCCGGGCUUAACCUGGGAACUGCGCUUGUGACUGCACAGCUAGAGUAUGGCAGAGGGGGGUGGAAUUCCACGUGUAGCAGUGAAAUGCGUAGAGAUGUGGAGGAACACCGAUGGCGAAGGCAGCCCCCUGGGCCAGUACUGACGCUCAUGCACGAAAGCGUGGGGAGCAAACAGGAUUAGAUACCCGUGUAGUCCCUGUCUCUUAUAC
rnacentral:rRNA from 1 species